UACGGAGGGUGCGAGCGUUGUCCGGAAUCACUGGGCGUAAAGGGCGCGUAGGCGGCCGAGCAAGUUCGUGGUGAAAGCCCGGGGCUCAACCCCGGGUCGGCCAUGGCAACUACUCGGCUGGAGCACAGUAGAGGCAGGCGGAAUUCCGGGUGUAGCGGUGGAAUGCGUAGAGAUCCGGAAGAACACCGGUGGCGAAGGCGGCCUGCUGGGCUGUGGCUGACGCUGAGGCGCGACAGCGUGGGGAGCGAACAGG
rnacentral:rRNA from 1 species